UUAUAUGAUGCAUAAACAACCAUACUUGUGACUAGACUUCACGUCGAUGUUGUCCAAAUUAAUCAUCUUUCGGGUCUGACAA
rnacentral:snoRNA from 1 species